CUGAAGCCGAACGGCAACGUCAGGGGCUGGGCACCCAGGUGAAUCUGAAAGGCGGAGCUUGAGCGAGCAGGGAGGCGGAGCAGAAAGUUCCUACCCUCCUGAGGGAAGAAGCAGAAACCAGCCAAGGGGUGGUAUCUGUGGCUUGCUGUGAUACAGAGGAAGAUUGAAGUGCUUACUCCAGAGACGUGCCAGCUCCUCUGUCAUGAGAAAAUUCAAGCACCAAAUGGAAAGGCACAGGUGAGAAAUUGAGGGUUCUGGCCGAUAGCCAGCUGAGAACAGAGCUUCCUGCCGGCUGCCUGGUGUAUGAACUUGGAUGAGAGAUGACUGCAGCCCCAG